UAUUAUGGAUGUUGAUUAAGCUGGAAUAGUUACUAGUUAGCUAUAGGAGGUGAUUCAUUUAACGUGGACAACUCAGAAAAAUGAUGUCCAGGCGAAUUUGUUUCGAUUCUCCAUAGUGGAAUUGAGCUUCUAUGCUUUUAAAAGUACUAAGUGAUUGGUGCUUAUAAGUUUUCGGCCACUGGAUCAAGAAAUGUGCAGUUAGGAUGAUUGUGGUCCUCUAGAGUUGAGUAGUGGUGAUUGGUUGAAUAGUAUGAUCUAACGAGUGAAAAUGAUAAAAAAAAGUAGAUCCAAAGGCGAAAAACUUACAAGCACCAAGUACGUGUGCUUUUAAAAGUAUAGUAGCUAGACUCCUCCGUAGUGUUUGAUUAGUCGAAAAGCGUAAAAAACUAUUUUUAUUGAAAAAAAUUAAUAA
rnacentral:lncRNA from 1 species